rnacentral:rRNA from 1 species
CCUACGGGAGGCAGCAGUGAGGAAUAUUGGGCAAUGGAGGUAACUCUGACCCAGCCAUGCCGCGUGCAGGAAGACUGCCCUAUGGGUUGUAAACUGCUUUUAUACAGGAAGAAACACUGCUACGUGUAGCAGCUUGACGGUACUGUAAGAAUAAGGACCGGCUAACUCCGUGCCAGCAGCCGCGGUAAUACGGAGGGUCCGAGCGUUAUCCGGAAUCAUUGGGUUUAAAGGGUCCGCAGGCGGUCAAUUAAGUCAGAGGUGAAAUCCCAUAGCUUAACUAUGGAACUGCCUUUGAUACUGGUUGACUUGAGUCAUAUGGAAGUAGAUAGAAUGUGUAGUGUAGCGGUGAAAUGCAUAGAUAUUACACAGAAUACCGAUUGCGAAGGCAGUCUACUACGUAUGUACUGACGCUCAUGGACGAAAGCGUGGGGAGCGAACAGGAUUAGAUACCCUGGUAGUCCACGCCGUAAACGAUGGACACUAGUUGUUGGGCAUUAGCUCAGUGACUAAGCGAAAGUGAUAAGUGUCCCACCUGGGGAGUACGAUCGCAAGAUUGAAACUCAAAGGAAUGACGGAAUCGUCGACUGCAGAAACCG